rnacentral:rRNA from 1 species
GACGAACGCUGGCGGCGUGCUUAACACAUGCAAGUCGAACGAAGUGGCGAACGGGUGAGUAACGCGUAAUCAACCUGCCCUUCAGAGGGGGACAACAGUUGGAAACGACUGCUAAUACCGCAUACUGAAGGAGGGGAUUGCGUCGGAUUGGCUAGUUGGAGGGGUAACGGCCCACCAAGGCGAUGAUCAGUGGCCGGUGUGGGAGGAUGAACGGCCACAUUGGGACUGAGACACGGCCCAGAAUCCUACGGGAGGCAGCAGUGGGGAAGCUUCCGCAAUGGGCGAAAGUCGGAAGGAACAACGCCGCGGGAGGGAUGACGGCCUUCGGGGUGUAAAGCACUGUUAAUCGGGACGCGGUACCGGAAUAGAAAGCAACGGCUAACUACGUGCCAGCAGCCGCGGUAAUAC